rnacentral:pre_miRNA from 1 species
GGGUGAUGCUUCAGGUUCUCCCUGAAAUGUCGGCAAGAGAACUCGAAGGAUCCCCGA